rnacentral:rRNA from 1 species
UACGUAGGUGGCAAGCGUUAUCCGGAAUUAUUGGGCGUAAAGAGCGCGCAGGUGGUUAAUUAAGUCUGAUGUGGAAGCCCACGGCUUAACCGUGGAGGGUCAUUGGAAACUGGUUGACUUGAGUGCAGAAAAGGGAAGUGGAAUUCCAUGUGUAGCGGUGAAAUGCGUAGAGAUAUGGAGGAACACCAGUGGCGAAGGCGGCUUCCUGGUCUGCAACUGACACUGAGGCGCGAAAGCGUGGGGAGCAAACAGG